rnacentral:ribozyme from 1 species
UUUUGCAGAUUAACGCUGGCCACACCAUGCAAUCAAAAUAAUCUCACAGUCUCGACCCGGGCUUACGGGUUUGAUGACCUGAUUGAGAGAGAAUAGCUAGUCUGACAGCAGCUGAUCGAGACAAUGCAAUGGGGGUUUGUCG